ACUCGUUUUGGCGAGUACAUAUACCAAAAAACUGGAACGAUUCAGAGAAGAUUAGCAUGGGCUCUGCACAAAGGUGCCACGAUAGCAAAGCGUUGACGUCCGCAAAGCU
rnacentral:snRNA from 1 species